GACGAACGCUGGCGGCGUGCUUAACACAUGCAAGUCGAACGGAAAGGCCCUGCUUUUGUGGGGUGCUCGAGUGGCGAACGGGCGAGUAACACGUGAGUAACCUGCCCUUGACUUUGGGAUAACUUCAGGGAACUGGGGCUCAUACCGGGUAGGAGCUCCUGCUGCAUGGUGGGGGUUGGAGAGUUUCGGCGGUGGGGGAUGGACUCGCGGGAUAUCAGCUUGUUGGGCGGGUAGUGGCUUACCAAGCUUUCGACGGGUAGCCGGCCUGGGAGGGUGACCGGCCACAUUGGGACUGAGGGACGGCCCAGUCGCCUACGGGAGGCAGCAGUGGGGAAUAUUGCACAAUGGGCGGAAGCCUGAUGCAGCAACGCCGCGUGCGUGAUGACGGCCUUCGGGUUGUAAACCGCUGUGGCCUGUGACGAAGCGUGAGUGACGGUAAUGGGUAAAGAAGCACCGGCUAACUACGUG
rnacentral:rRNA from 1 species